rnacentral:misc_RNA from 1 species
UCCGGGUUCACAGCGCAGCUU